rnacentral:rRNA from 1 species
AAGUUUGAUCCUGGCUCAGGAUGAACGCUGGCGGCGUGCUUAACACAUGCAAGUCGAACGAACCUUCGGGUUAGUGGCGGACGGGUGAGUAACGCGUGGGAAUCUGCCCUCAGGAGGGGGAUAACGGCUGGAAACGGCCGCUAAUACCCCAUAUGCCGAGAGGUGAAAUGAGUUUCGCCUGAGGAUGAGCCCGCGUCUGAUUAGCUUGUUGGUGAGGUAAUGGCUCACCAAGGCUUCGAUCAGUAGCUGGUCUGAGAGGAUGAUCAGCCACACUGGGACUGAGACACGGCCCAGACUCCUACGGGAGGCAGCAGUGGGGAAUUUUCCGCAAUGGGCGAAAGCCUGACGGAGCAACGCCGCGUGAGGGAUGAAGGCCUCUGGGCUGUAAACCCCUUUUCUCAAGGAAGAAGAUCUGACGGUACUUGAGGAAUAAGCCACGGCUAUCCGUGCCAGCAGCGCGAUAUACGGAGUGGCAAGCGUUAUCCCGAUAUGGCGUAAGCGUCGCAGCGCUUUCAAGUCUGCUGUAAAAACGUGGAGCUUAACUCCAUCAAGGCAGUGGAAACUGUUGGGCUUGAGUGUGGUAGGGGCAGAGGGAAUUCCCGGUGUAGCGGUGAAAUGCGUAGAUAUCGGGAAGAACACCAGUGGCGAAGGCGCUCUGCUGGGCCAUAACUGACGCUCAUGGACGAAAGCCAGGGGAGCGAAAGGGAUUAGAUACCCCUGUAGUCCUGGCCGUAAACGAUGAACACUAGGUGUCGGGGGAAUCGACCCCCUCGGUGUCGUAGCCAACGCGUUAAGUGUUCCGCCUGGGGAGUACGCACGCAAGUGUGAAACUCAAAGGAAUUGACGGGGGCCCGCACAGCGGUGGAGUAUGUGGUUUAAUUCGAUGCACGCGAGAACCUUACCAGGGUUUGACAUCCUGCGACCUCUUAGAAAUUUGAGGGUGCAUCGGACGCAUGACAGUGAUGCAUGACUGUCGUCAGCUCGGUCUGAAAUGUGGGCUAAGUCCCGCAACGAGCGCAACCCACGUUUUUAGUUGCCAGCAUUCAGUUGGGCACUCUAGAGAGGCCGCCGGUGAUAAACCGGAGGAAGGUGUGGAUGACGUCAAGUCAUCAUGCCCCUUACAUCCUGGGCUACACACGUACUACAAUGCUACGGACAAAGGGCAGCGAACUUGCGAGGGCAAGCAAAUCCCAUAAACCGUGGCUCAGUUCAGAUCGUAGGCUGCAACUCGCCUACGUGAAGCAGGAAUCGCUAGUAAUCGCAGGUCAGCAUACUGCGGUGAAUACGUUCCCGGGCCUUGUACACACCGCCCGUCACACCAUGGAAGUUGGCCACGCCCGAAGUCGUUACUCCAACCCUUGUGGAGGAGGACGCCGAAGGUGGGGCUAAUGACUGGGGUGAAGUCGUAACAAGGUAACC